AAGAGUCGGCUAGGACAUGACAUGGGGCAGUACGCUGCAGCGGCAGACAUUUUAAAGUAGACUGGAGUCUCUGUGGUGAUUCGGCGAUUACUAAUGUACGUUCUAAAACAUUUAACCAUAGAGAAGACAGCAUGGUGGCUGCCAUUGGUAACUCAGCAUGGACAAGGGAGACUCCUGAAUUUGGGGGAAAGCUCCCAGAAGAGUGGGCAUCUCGCCACUUCUCCAGUGAAGAGGGUGUGUGGUGUUAAACA